rnacentral:tRNA from 1 species
GGGUCCGUGGCUCAGCGGCAGGAGCGUUCGGCCGGUAGCCGAAAGGUGAGGGUUCGACUCCCUCCGGGCCCA